AGUUAAUGAACUUGAAUAAGUAUAUAUUUUGAAAAUAUAACAAAGGGUUACAAUCCCUAUUAACUU
rnacentral:tRNA from 1 species